rnacentral:lncRNA from 1 species
CUUUUCUUAUAGAUAAAUGUGGUCAGGUUUCUAUAUGUAGACAAAAAAAAGUCUAGAUUAUCCAGAUUUGCUUCUGUUUUACAUAUUAAGCAGGGCGUUCGUGAUUGACAGACUCAGCAUUUUAAUGAUUAUAAAUUAUAACCAAAUUCCAUAUUCAAAUGUUAAAAACAGAACAAGAUCUUUAAAAAAGGGUAUAUAUUUUAGUGUUUCUUUUCCACAAUCCCAUAGACUUAACUGUAAAAUUACGUUUUAUCCUAUAAAACUUCAUGUGCAUCAAAGUUUAAACAAAGGCCCGUCAGCACAUGCUGUCAGUUUACCAACAAUCACCUGUUUUGGUGUUUUUACCAGUCCAAGAGUCUCAUCAGCUGCUCCAUCAGACUCUCUAGCUUCCUGGCAAGUUUCAAGUGUUUUCCCAGUAAAAGCCCAUUAUCCCAGCAAGCUGAGCACCAUCCACUGACAAACAAAGGCAGCAACAGCCUUGCUCCUCAUUCACGACACACUAGGGUCUGCACAAUAUAAGGCAGACAAGCGACAAAAUGAGCAGGACAUCUGGUUACGAGUACAGCUGCUCACGGUCAAACGGACUCUCUUCUAAACUAUUUGGCUCGACAAUUGUUUUUGUUUCUGCCGCCUGGUUUGAAACUCCACAGGAAGGUCUUUACUUAAAAGAGUUAGGUUUUUGAUCCACAUAAAACUGAGUGCCAUGUGUUUGCUUGUGUCAUUCAGGAGUAUUGACUUGGAGUUUCAAAUGCCCGGAGCUGGAGUUUGAGGCCCUAUUCAGGCUUCAGGCUUAAGAUUCAUCCUUUAAACGAGAAGAAGCAGAAGAAGAUGGUGAAGAUUUGCCUGUUCUGUGUUUUCCUCAUCUGCUUGAUUGAGAGAUGCUCAUCAAGGGUUUUCAACCCCAACACAAAAGAUCUCAGUGUUGCAAGGCCUCUAAUAGUUCCAGGUUACCCAGAAAACUCCACAGCUGUAGUGGGUGGAGAGGUUAAGCUGAUAUGUAAAGUCCACCGUCCUGCAUCCACUAAGGUACAGUGGUUGAAGACGGUAACCAUCCAAUCAGAGCAAAGCAAGGACGCAUCAACUCACCUCAAGCCUCUAAUGGCGUUGCAGGCUAAUGGAUCUAAGCUGAGCACCCUUCAUUUAUCAAUAUCACUUGGCAGAUGA